AUGGGGUUGAGGGACAAGACCAAGACCGGUGAGGGGAAGGAUUUUCCGGUGCCAGUUAAUCAGGCAGGGAAGGUCUUGAAGAAGGGAAGGAAGAAACAGGAGGUCGACCGCCAGAAGCAGGCCGAGAAGAAGCGGCGCCGGCUGGAGAAGGCGCUCGCAAACUCUGCCGCCAUCAUUUCAGAGCUGGGAAAGAGGAAGCAGAAUAAUAAGAAAGAGGAACAGGAAAGGCCGGACGAGGUGGAAGCCGCUCCGAAGAAGAAAGAUGAGCCGGACCGCCAGAAGCAGGCUGGGAAGAAGCGGACUCGGCUGGAGAAAUUGCUCGCAAACUCUGCUGCCAUAAUUUCAGAGCUGGAAAAGAAGAAGCAGAAGAGGAAAGAGGAGCAGGAAAUGCUGGACGAGGAAGUCGCUUCGAUAGCCGAUGCGGUCGCUCUUCAUGUUCGCAUCGGCGAGGACUCCGAUGAAUCCCGCCAUCUGGUGCUUAACGGGCACGGAAGAUGCAACGACUGGGACCCCGAUGCUGGUUUCAACCUUUACAUGGAGAUGUGA
rnacentral:rRNA from 1 species